GACGUAGGGCGCAAGCGUUGUCCGGAUUUAUUGGGCGUAAAGAGCUCGUAGGCGGUUUGUCGCGUCUGCUGUGAAAACCUAAGGCUCAACCUUGGGCUUGCAGUGGGUACGGGCAGACUAGAGUGCGGUAGGGGUGACUGGAAUUCCUGGUGUAGCGGUGGAAUGCGCAGAUAUCAGGAGGAACACCGAUGGCGAAGGCAGGUCACUGGGCCGCAACUGACGCUGAGGAGCGAAAGCAUGGGGAGCGAACAGG
rnacentral:rRNA from 1 species